rnacentral:rRNA from 1 species
UACGUAGGGUGCAAGCGUUGUCCGGAAUUAUUGGGCGUAAAGAGCUCGUAGGCGGUUUGUCGCGUCUGCUGUGAAAACUCAGGGCUUAACUCUGAGCUUGCAGUGGGUACGGGCAGACUAGAGUGCGGUAGGGGAGACUGGAAUUCCUGGUGUAGCGGUGAAAUGCGCAGAUAUCAGGAGGAACACCGGUGGGCGAAGGCGGGGUCUCUGGGCCGUAACUGACGCUGGAGGAG